rnacentral:rRNA from 1 species
AUUGAACGCUGGCGGCAUGCCUAACACAUGCAAGUCGAACGAGUGGCGGACGGGUGAGUAAUGUAUGGGAAACUGCCUGAUGGAGGGGGCUAACUACUGGAAACGGUAGCUAAUACCGCAUACCACCCGUUGUGCCCAAAUUGGAGUAGCUAGUGGGUGGGGUAACGGUUCACCAAGGCGACGAUCCCUAGCUGGUCUGAGAGGAUGACCAGCCACACUGGAACUGAGACACGGUCCAGACUCCUACGGGAGGCAGCAGUGGGGAAUAUUGCACAAUGGGCGAAAGCCUGAUGCAGCCAUGCCGCGUGUAUGAAGAAGGCCUUCGGGUUGUAAAGUACUUUCAGCGGGGAGGCGUUACCCACAGAGGAAGCAACGGCUAACUCCGUGCCAGCAGCCGCGGUAAUUC